CAGUAGCCGCGGUAAUACGAAGGGGGCUAGCGUUGCUCGGAAUUACUGGGCGUAAAGGGCGCGUAGGCGGACAGUUCAGUCGGGGGUGAAAGCCCGGGGCUCAACCUCGGAAUUGCCUUCGAUACUGGCUGUCUUGAGUAUGAGAGAGGUGUGUGGAACUCCGAGUGUAGAGGUGAAAUUCGUAGAUAUUCGGAAGAACACCAGUGGCGAAGGCGACACACUGGCUCAUUACUGACGCUGAGGCGCGAAAGCGUGGGGAGCAAACAGGAUUAGAUACCCCGGUAGUCCCUGUCUCUUAUAC
rnacentral:rRNA from 1 species